GGAAGUAGAAGUCGUAACAAGGUUUCCGUAGGUGAACCUGCGGGAGGAUCAUUCAUAAUAAGUGUUUUAUGGCACUUUUUUAAAUCCAUAUCCACCUUGUGUGCAAUGUCAGGGUUGAUUUUUCUCUCGAGAGAAUCAACCCCAAACAUCAACUAUAUCUCAACUCUUUGUCUGAAAAAUAUUAUGAAUAAAACAAUUCAAAAUGCAACUUUCAACAACGGAUCUCUUGGCUCUC
rnacentral:misc_RNA from 1 species